AUUGAACGCUGGCGGCAGGCCUAACACAUGCAAGUCGAACGAGUGGCGGACGGGUGAGUAACGUCUGGGAACCAGCCUGAUGGAGGGGGAUAACUACUGGAAACGGUAGUUAAUACCGCAUACCAUCAGAUGUGCCCAGAUGGGAUUAGCUAGUUGGUGGGGUAACGGCUAACCAAGGCGACGAUCCCUAGCGGGUCUGAGAGGGUGAACAGCCACACUGGAACUAGGACACGGUCCAGACUCCUACGGGAGGCAGCAGUGGGGAAUAUUGCACAAUGGGCGCAAGCCUGAUGCAGCCAUGCCGCGUGUAUGAUGAAGGCCUUCGGGUUGUAAAGUACUUUCAGCGGGGAGUCGUUACCCGCAGAAGAAGCACCGGCUAACUCCGUGCCAGCAGCCGCGGUAAUUC
rnacentral:rRNA from 1 species